AUUGAACGCUGGCGGCAGGCCUAACACAUGCAAGUCGAGCGGCAGCGGGAAAGUAGCUUGCUACUUUUGCCGGCGAGCGGCGGACGGGUGAGUAAUGCCUGGGAAAUUGCCCAGUCGAGGGGGAUAACAGUUGGAAACGACUGCUAAUACCGCAUACGCCCUACGGGGGAAAGCAGGGGACCUUCAGGCCUUGCGCGAUUGGAUAUGCCCAGGUGGGAUUAGCUAGUUGGUGAGGUAAUGGCUCACCAAGGCGACGAUCCCUAGCUGGUCUGAGAGGAUGAUGAGCCACACUGGAACUGAGACACGGUCCAGACUCCUACGGGAGGCAGCAGUGGGGAAUAUUGCACAAUGGGGGAAACCCUGAUGCAGCCAUGCCGCGUGUGUGAAGAAGGCCUUCGGGUUGUAAAGCACUUUCAGCGAGGAGGAAAGGUCAGUAGCUAAUACCUGCUGACUGUGACGUUACUCGCAGAAGAAGCACCGGCUAACUCCGUGCCAGCCGCCGCAGUAAUAC
rnacentral:rRNA from 1 species